GGCGGACGGGUGAGUAACAUUUAGGAAUCUGCCUAGUAGUGGGGGAUAGCUCGGGGAAACUCGAAUUAAUACCGCAUACGACCUACGGGUGAAAGGGGGCGCAAGCUCUUGCUAUUAGAUGAGCCUAAAUCAGAUUAGCUAGUUGGUGGGGUAAAGGCCCACCAAGGCGACGAUCUGUAACUGGUCUGAGAGGAUGAUCAGUCACACCGGAACUGAGACACGGUCCGGACUCCUACGGGAGGCAGCAGUGGGGAAUAUUGGACAAUGGGGGCAACCCUGAUCCAGCCAUGCCGCGUGUGUGAAGAAGGCCUUUUGGUUGUAAAGCACUUUAAGCAGGGAGGAGAGGCUAAUGGUUAAUACCCAUUAGAUUAGACGUUACCUGCAGAAUAAGCACCGGCUAACUCUGUGCCAGCAGCCGCGGUAAUACAGAGGGUGCGAGCGUUAAUCGGAAUUACUGGGCGUAAAGCGAGUGUAGGUGGCUCAUUAAGUCACAUGUGAAAUCCCCGGGCUUAACCUGGGAACUGCAUGUGAUACUGGUGGUGCUAGAAUAUGUGAGAGGGAAGUAGAAUUCCAGGUGUAGCGGUGAAAUGCGUAGAGAUCUGGAGGAAUACCGAUGGCGAAGGCAGCUUCCUGGCAUAAUAUUGAC
rnacentral:rRNA from 1 species